GGGUUGUGAGGUUAAGCGACUAAGCGUACACGGUGGAUGCCCUGGCAGUCAGAGGCGAUGAAGGACGUGCUAAUCUGCGAUAAGCGUCGGUAAGGUGAUAUGAACCGUUAUAACCGGCGAUUUCCGAAUGGGGAAACCCAGUGUGAUUCGUCACACUAUCAUUAACUGAAUCCAUAGGUUAAUGAGGCGAACCGGGGGAACUGAAACAUCUAAGUACCCCGAGGAAAAGAAAUCAACCGAGAUUCCCCCAGUAGCGGCGAGCGAACGGGGAGCAGCCCAGAGCCUGAAUCAGUGUGUGUGUUAGUGGAAGCGUCUGGAAAGGCGCGCGAUACAGGGUGACAGCCCCGUACACAAAAAUGCACAUGCUGUGAGCUCGAUGAGUAGGGCGGGACACGUGGUAUCCUGUCUGAAUAUGGGGGGACCAUCCUCCAAGGCUAAAUACUCCUGACUGACCGAUAGUGAACCAGUACCGUGAGGGAAAGGCGAAAAGAACCCCGGCGAGGGGAGUGAAAAAGAACCUGAAACCGUGUACGUACAAGCAGUGGGAGCACAGAGCAAUCUGUGUGACUGCGUACCUUUUGUAUAAUGGGUCAGCGACUUAUAUUCUGUAGCAAGGUUAACCGAAUAGGGGAGCCGAAGGGAAACCGAGUCUUAACUGGGCGUUAAGUUGCAGGGUAUAGACCCGAAACCCGGUGAUCUAGCCAUGGGCAGGUUGAAGGUUGGGUAACACUAACUGGAGGACCGAACCGACUAAUGUUGAAAAAUUAGCGGAUGACUUGUGGCUGGGGGUGAAAGGCCAAUCAAACCGGGAGAUAGCUGGUUCUCCCCGAAAGCUAUUUAGGUAGCGCCUCGUGAAUUCAUCUCCGGGGGUAGAGCACUGUUUCGGCAAGGGGGUCAUCCCGACUUACCAACCCGAUGCAAACUGCGAAUACCGGAGAAUGUUAUCACGGGAGACACACGGCGGGUGCUAACGUCCGUCGUGAAGAGGGAAACAACCCAGACCGCCAGCUAAGGUCCCAAAGUCAUGGUUAAGUGGGAAACGAUGUGGGAAGGCCCAGACAGCCAGGAUGUUGGCUUAGAAGCAGCCAUCAUUUAAAGAAAGCGUAAUAGCUCACUGGUCGAGUCGGCCUGCGCGGAAGAUGUAACGGGGCUAAACCAUGCACCGAAGCUGCGGCAGCGACGCUUAUGCGUUGUUGGGUAGGGGAGCGUUCUGUAAGCCUGUGAAGGUGUACUGUGAGGUAUGCUGGAGGUAUCAGAAGUGCGAAUGCUGACAUAAGUAACGAUAAAGCGGGUGAAAAGCCCGCUCGCCGGAAGACCAAGGGUUCCUGUCCAACGUUAAUCGGGGCAGGGUGAGUCGACCCCUAAGGCGAGGCCGAAAGGCGUAGUCGAUGGGAAACAGGUUAAUAUUCCUGUACUUGGUGUUACUGCGAAGGGGGGACGGAGAAGGCUAUGUUGGCCGGGCGACGGUUGUCCCGGUUUAAGCGUGUAGGCUGGUUUUCCAGGCAAAUCCGGAAAAUCAAGGCUGAGGCGUGAUGACGAGGCACUACGGUGCUGAAGCAACAAAUGCCCUGCUUCCAGGAAAAGCCUCUAAGCAUCAGGUAACAUCAAAUCGUACCCCAAACCGACACAGGUGGUCAGGUAGAGAAUACCAAGGCGCUUGAGAGAACUCGGGUGAAGGAACUAGGCAAAAUGGUGCCGUAACUUCGGGAGAAGGCACGCUGAUAUGUAGGUGAAGUCCCUCGCGGAUGGAGCUGAAAUCAGUCGAAGAUACCAGCUGGCUGCAACUGUUUAUUAAAAACACAGCACUGUGCAAACACGAAAGUGGACGUAUACGGUGUGACGCCUGCCCGGUGCCGGAAGGUUAAUUGAUGGGGUUAGCGCAAGCGAAGCUCUUGAUCGAAGCCCCGGUAAACGGCGGCCGUAACUAUAACGGUCCUAAGGUAGCGAAAUUCCUUGUCGGGUAAGUUCCGACCUGCACGAAUGGCGUAAUGAUGGCCAGGCUGUCUCCACCCGAGACUCAGUGAAAUUGAACUCGCUGUGAAGAUGCAGUGUACCCGCGGCAAGACGGAAAGACCCCGUGAACCUUUACUAUAGCUUGACACUGAACAUUGAGCCUUGAUGUGUAGGAUAGGUGGGAGGCUUUGAAGUGUGGACGCCAGUCUGCAUGGAGCCGACCUUGAAAUACCACCCUUUAAUGUUUGAUGUUCUAACGUUGACCCGUAAUCCGGGUUGCGGACAGUGUCUGGUGGGUAGUUUGACUGGGGCGGUCUCCUCCUAAAGAGUAACGGAGGAGCACGAAGGUUGGCUAAUCCUGGUCGGACAUCAGGAGGUUAGUGCAAUGGCAUAAGCCAGCUUGACUGCGAGCGUGACGGCGCGAGCAGGUGCGAAAGCAGGUCAUAGUGAUCCGGUGGUUCUGAAUGGAAGGGCCAUCGCUCAACGGAUAAAAGGUACUCCGGGGAUAACAGGCUGAUACCGCCCAAGAGUUCAUAUCGACGGCGGUGUUUGGCACCUCGAUGUCGGCUCAUCACAUCCUGGGGCUGAAGUAGGUCCCAAGGGUAUGGCUGUUCGCCAUUUAAAGUGGUACGCGAGCUGGGUUUAGAACGUCGUGAGACAGUUCGGUCCCUAUCUGCCGUGGGCGCUGGAGAAUUGAGGGGGGCUGCUCCUAGUACGAGAGGACCGGAGUGGACGCAUCACUGGUGUUCGGGUUGUCAUGCCAAUGGCACUGCCCGGUAGCUAAAUGCGGAAGAGAUAAGUGCUGAAAGCAUCUAAGCACGAAACUUGCCCCGAGAUGAGUUCUCCCUGACUCCUUGAGAGUCCUGAAGGAACGUUGAAGACGACGACGUUGAUAGGCCGGGUGUGUAAGCGCAGCGAUGCGUUGAGCUAACCGGUACUAAUGAACCGUGAGGCUUAACCUUACAACGCCGAAG
rnacentral:rRNA from 1 species